rnacentral:rRNA from 1 species
CCUACGGGAGGCUGCAGUGAGGAAUAUUGGUCAAUGGGCGCGAGCCUGAACCAGCCAAGUCGCGUGAGGGAAGACGGUCCUAUGGAUUGUAAACCUCUUUUGUCGGGGAGCAAAAUACGCCACGCGUGGCGUUCCGAGAGUACCCGAAGAAAAAGCAUCGGCUAACUCCGUGCCAGCAGCCGCGGUAAUACGGAGGAUGCGAGCGUUAUCCGGAUUCACUGGGUGUAAAGGGAGCGUAGACGGCCAGGCAAGCCUGGAGUGAAAGCCCGGGGCCCAACCCCGGGACUGCUCUGGGAACUGUCCGGCUGGAGUGCGGGAGGGGCAGGCGGAAUUCCUGGUGUAGCGGUGAAAUGCGUAGAUAUCAGGAGGAACACCGGCGGCGAAGGCGGCCUGCUGGACCGCGACUGACGUUGAGGCUCGAAAGCGUGGGGAGCGAACAGGAUUAGAUACCCCGGUAGUC